rnacentral:rRNA from 1 species
UGCGCAGGCGGUUGUGUAAGACAGGUGUGAAAUCCCCGGGCUUAACCUGGGAAUUGCAUUUGUGACUGCACGACUAGAGUGUGUCAGAGGGGGUGGAAUUCCACGUGUAGCAGUGAAAUGCGUAGAUAUGUGGAGGAACACCAAUGGCGAAGGCAGCCCCCUGGGAUAACACUGACGCUCAUGCACGAAAGCGUGGGGAGCAAACA